rnacentral:sRNA from 2 species
AAGGAACUUCGGUAGGUGAGGCUCCUAGGGAUACGGAUUGAUACCGCAAAGCAAUGGAGACAUUGCGAGAAGGUUAUCAGACUAUGUCGAAACCAAGGCAUAAUCUAACUCAAUUUCACUGCCCUAUAAAGCUAAAACUUGAACGGUGUCGGGU